AACGGCCAUACCAUGCUGAAUAUACCGGUUCUCGUUAGAUCACCGAAGUCAAGCAUCAUUGGGCGCGGUCAGUACUUGGGUGGGUGACCACCUGGGAACACCGCGUAC
rnacentral:rRNA from 1 species